GAUGAAGAACGUAGCGAAAUGCGAUAAGUAAUGUGAAUUGCAGAAUUCAGUGAAUCAUCGAAUCUUUGAACGCACAUUGCGCCCCUUGGUAUUCCGAGGGGCAUGCCUGUUCGAGCGUCAUUAUAACCCCUCAAGCUCAGCUUGGUGUUGGGGCCUGCUGCACUGGCAGCCCUUAAAAUCAGUGGCGGCGCCGUCUGGCUCUAAGCGUAGUAAUUCUUCUCGCUAUGGAGUCCUGGUGGAUGCUUGCCAUCAACCCCCAAUUUUUCUAUGGUUGACCUCGGAUCAGGUAGGGAUACCCGCUGAACUUAAGCAUAUCAAUAAGCGAGGA
rnacentral:misc_RNA from 1 species